rnacentral:rRNA from 1 species
AUACGUAGGGGGCGAGCGUUGUCCGGAAUGAUUGGGCGUAAAGGGCGCGUAGGCGGCUUUGCAAGUCAGUAGUGGAAGUCCAUUUUUCAAGGAUGGAAGUGCUAACGAAACUGCGGAGCUUGAGUGCAGGAGAGGUUAUCGGAAUUCCCGGCGUAGCGGUGAAAUGCGUAGGGAUCGGGAGGAACCCCAGUGGCGAAGGCGGAUAUAUGGACUGCAAAGGACGCUGAGGCGCGAAAGUGUGGGGGGAAAACAGGAUUAGAUCCCCUGGUAUUCGACGCCGUAAACGAUGAAUACUAGUUGUAGGGGGUAUCGACUCCCUCUGUGCCGCAGUUAACACAAUAAGUAUUCCGCCUGGGGAGUACGGCCGCAAGGUUGAAACUCAAAGGAAUUGACGGGG